UACGAAGGGGGCUAGCGUUGUUCGGAAUUACUGGGCGUAAAGGGCGCGUAGGCGGUGUGUCAAGUCAGGCGUGAAAGCCCCGGGCUCAACCUGGGAACCGCGCUUGAGACUGGCACGCUAGAGUUCGGGAGAGGAUGGUGGAAUUCCCAGUGUAGAGGUGAAAUUCGUAGAUAUUGGGAAGAACACCGAUGGCGAAGGCAGCCUCCUGGGAUAACACUGACGCUCAUGCACGAAAGGCGUGGGGAGCAAACAGG
rnacentral:rRNA from 1 species